ensembl:snRNA U6 U6 spliceosomal RNA
GUGCUUGCUACGGCAGCACAUACACUAAAAAUGGAUUGAUACAGAGAAGAUUAGCAUGGCCCCUGCGAAAGGAUGACAUGCAAAUCCGUGAAACACAGCAUAUUUUG